GCGGAAAUAGUAAGUGUACUUCCAACUGGUAUAAUGGUCACACGAAUCGAAGUAUUGAACCUGUUGUUGUUGUUCAGUCUCGAAGUUCUCUAAACUCACACACCUCUUCUUACCGACAGACUAAAGCCUCAAAGAGACUCUGGAGAGUCCAAAAUGAAACGCAAGAAAUGGUCGGAGCUGGAAGAGCAAACCUUGCUCACAAAGUACUCAGAGCUCCGAAACUCUGGUGCCUUGGCCAAGCUCAAGACUCGGGAGAAGAAAUUCAAGCCUGUGGCUGACCAUGUUAACACAAUACACCAUCUUCAAGACCCAGCCACCUACCCCUUCAAGUGGAGCUGGCGUGACGUGUCCAUCAAGGUCCAAAACAUGCGCCACCAGUACCUGGGUGUGAAGCAGAAGAUCCGACUCUCCAAUGAUGAGUUCAACUGGAAAGAUGGUGAGAAUCACUGGGUCAAUUUUUUUAAGUACAAGGAAGUGUUUGGGGAUGUGGAACUUGAUGUUAAGAGUAAGAGGUUGUGUGAGAACAAUGAUAAUGAUAUUCAUGUUUUUGGGGAUUGUGGGGAUUUGGGGUUUGGGAUUGAUUGUGAGGAUGAAGAAGAUGGUGAAGAAGAAGAUGAAGAUGAGGAAGAUGAGGAUGAGGAUGAGGAUGUGGAUGAUGAUGAUGAUGAGGAGGAAGAUGAAGAAGAAAAUGAGGAAAAUUUGAGGAGUGAAGGUGAAUUUGAGGGUGAGAGGCAAAAUGGGGAAGUGGGUUUUGCUGGGGUGAAGAAAUUGAAGAUGGGUUUGGGAGGAAAUGAAAGAUUGAGGCUAAUGGGUUCUAAAGUUUUGGACUUGAGGGAUGUGAUGGUGAAGAAAGAGGAGAGGAAAAGAGAGAGGGAGUUUCAGGGAGAGAAGGAGGAGGCAGUGAGGGAGGAAAAUAGGAGAGAGGCGCAUUGGAGGGCGGUGAAACGGCGGUAUGAUAGGGAAGAAGGGUUGGAGAAUAGGGAAUUGGAGUUGGAAGAGAGGGAGUUGAUGUGGGCAAAGAGGGAAGUUGAGAGAAGGUUGAGAUUGGAAAUGGAAUUCGAUGAUGAACGGCGGGAGAGAAUGAGGAUGGAGGAGGAGAGGGAGGAGAAGGAGAUGGAGUGGAAGGAGAGGAUGUUGGGUUUGCAGAUUGAGCAUGAGAAGCAAAUGAUGCAAAUGCAAGCUGAGGCAUGCCAGAACCAAAUGCAGGUUCUUGGGGUCAUGGCUCGGCUUGUUUGUCAGUUUUUUGGGUCGGCGAGUGAUGGGUUGGGUGGUGCAUUGGGAGUUUUGCCGCCUCAGGUUUUGCAUAAUUUGCAGCAUCCAGGGGGAUUGGGCGACAAUGGGAAGCCGGAUGCAAAUUCGCCUUCUGAAUUCAUAUCUUAUUUUCUGCUACUUCUACAAAUAGGCAAUUUGGUAGGGGGUACUUAUCCCCUUGAAGCAGGUUCCUGGAGGACACUACCAGUUGCUCGAUAUCCUGAACUGCCACAACCAGAAACACGUGGAGCUCCCAAAUUAGAGGCCUGCUCUAAUUCCCUAUUUGUACUUGGAUUUGACAAGGUUGUGAGAUUUCACCUUUAGAAAUUAGUUUCUGGAAAUAUCAGUGAAACAAGAUUUUCUCUUUGCUCCUUGUUUAAAAAGCACAGAGUCUGAAUGGUGGUUUAUAGACACAGCUGAGAUUACAGAUUCCAGGUAUUCAAAUUAACUAAAUUAAGUAUUGAAGAUAUUCAAUUGAUUGGUCUAAGCAUGUGGUUGUCCCAUAUCUAUUGUGUUGACUGGAUUCUUGUAUCCAAAAUUGUAAGUACUAAGCAUACAUUCAAUUUUGAAUUAGUUCUUAUAUUGCAAAAUAUUUCAAAAGAUGAAUGCAAAUUCAGAACUCUCUUAGCCAUGAGAAAUUUUUU